UACGUAGGGUGCGAGCGUUAAUCGGAAUUACUGGGCGUAAAGCGUGCGCAGGCGGUUUUGUAAGUCUGUCGUGAAAUCCCCGGGCUUAACCUGGGAAUGGCGAUGGAGACUGCAAGGCUAGAGUUUGGCAGAGGGGGGUAGAAUUCCACGUGUAGCAGUGAAAUGCGUAGAGAUGUGGAGGAACACCGAUGGCGAAGGCAGCCCCCUGGGCUGACACUGACGCUCAUGCACGAAAGCGUGGGGAGCAAACAGG
rnacentral:rRNA from 1 species